GUGGCUAUAGCUCAGUUGGCAGAGCACCGGGUUGUGGUCCCGGUUGUCGCGGGUUCGAGUCCCGUUAGCCACC
rnacentral:tRNA from 2 species